rnacentral:rRNA from 1 species
GGGACACGUGGUAUCCUGUCUGAAUAUGGGGGGACCAUCCUCCAAGGCUAAAUACUCCUGACUGACCGAUAGUGAACCAGUACCGUGAGGGAAAGGCGAAAAGAACCCCGGCGAGGGGAGUGAAAAAGAACCUGAAACCGUGUACGUACAAGCAGUGGGAGCACGCUUAGGCGUGUGACUGCGUACCUUUUGUAUAAUGGGUCAGCGACUUAUAUUCUGUAGCAAGGUUAACCGAAUAGGGGAGCCGAAGGGAAACCGAGUCUUAACUGGGCGUUAAGUUGCAGGGUAUAGACCCGAAACCCGGUGAUCUAGCCAUGGGCAGGUUGAAGGUUGGGUAACACUAACUGGAGGACCGAACCGACUAAUGUUGAAAAAUUAGCGGAUGACUUGUGGCUGGGGGUGAAAGGCCAAUCAAACCGGGAUAUAGCUGGUUCU